rnacentral:rRNA from 2 species
AAACUAACAAGGAUUCCCCUAGUAACGGCGAGUGAAGCGGGAUGAGCUCAAAUUUAAAAUCUGGCUGGUUUACUAGUCCGAAUUGUAGUUUAUAGAAGCGUUUUCGGUGGCAGCCUGGGUAUAAAUCCUUUGGAAUAGGGUAUCAUAGAGGGUGAGAAUCCCGUCUUUGACUCAGUGCAUGCUACUAUGUGAUACGUUUUCAAAGAGUCGAGUUGUUUGGGAAUGCAGCUCAAAAUGGGUGGUAAAUUUCAUCUAAAGCUAAAUAUUGGCGAGAGACCGAUAGCGAACAAGUACCGUGAGGGAAAGAUGAAAAGAACUUUGAAAAGAGAGUUAAACAGUGCGUGAAAUUGUUGAAAGGGAAACGUUUGACACCAGUUAUGCGGGUGGAAAAUCAGUCUUUUGCAAUGGGGAGUUGUGGGCGUUCAGACCGCAAGGCUGGCGUUUGCUUCAUCUUUGUUGUAAGUGAUGCACUUUUUCAUUUGCAGGUCAACAUCAGUUUGCUUUGCUGGACAAAACCCCAAGGGAAGGUGGCAGCUUAGGCUGUGUUAUAGCCCUGGGGCGAUACAGUGGAGUGGACUGAGGUUUCGCAGUGUGUGCUCUCGGGCAAGGCUGACUGGGUGCUAUGGGAUCGUUCGGCGUACAAUGCAUGCAUUUUGCGUCGUGUCUUUUUCAUACUCGCUCAACUCGGCUCUUCCACACUUAGGAUGUUGACUUAAUGGUUUUAAACGAC